UACGAGAGGCCCAAACGUUUAUUCGGAAUUACUGGGCUUAAAGAGUUCGUAGGCGGCGCAGAAAGUAGGGUGUGAAAGCCCUCGGCUUAACCGAGGAAUUGCGCUCUAAACUACUGUGCUUGAGGAACCUAGAGGUGAGCAGAACUGAUGGUGGAGCGGUGAAAUGCGUUGAUAUCAUCAGGAAUACCGGAGGCGAAGGCGGCUCACUGGGGGUUUUCUGACGCUGAGGAACGAAAGCCAGGGGAGCGAACGGG
rnacentral:rRNA from 1 species